rnacentral:rRNA from 1 species
CAGUAGCCGCGGUAAUACGAAGGGUGCAAGCGUUAAUCGGAAUUACUGGGCGUAAAGCGUGCGUAGUCGGUUUGUUAAGUCUGCUGUGAAAUCCCCGGGCUCAACCUGGGAAUUGCAGUGGAUACUGGGUCACUAGAGUGUGGUAGAGGAUAGUGGAAUUUCCGGUGUAGCAGUGAAAUGCGUAGAGAUCGGAAGGAACAUCUGUGGCGAAGGCGACUAUCUGGGCCAACACUGACACUGAGGCACGAAAGCGUGGGGAGCAAACAGGAUUAGAUACCCGAGUAGUCCCUGUCUCUUAUAC